UCAUAUCGACGGCCCAUCAAAAGCUCCAACGCGGAACCCUAAUAAAAUUUCCCAAAACCCUAAUUUGGUCGAGGAAACCCUAAAUCCGUUUCUCCUCUUUUAAUUGCGCUCAUCUGUACAUUAUUUGCACAAAAUAAUUUUUGGUGAGGCGAGUGGGUUCUUAGCAUUAUCUUGCGAGGUUGUGUAUUUUUUUUCGUUGCAAAAUCUGUGGUAUGGAACAAAGCUGAUGCGAUGAUGAUAGAAUUUAAUGGACUAGAGUUUCCGAUCCAAAAGGAGUUGACGAACAACCCUUGGCUGUCUGAGCAUUAGCUUAUAGGUUACAACGCGCCCUUUACCAAUAUCACAGUCUGAAAUCUGUGUCUGAUGAUGUAAUGGCUUGGGCGCCAUAUUAAUUUACGUUUGCGUGUGGCUAUUCAGACCAUUGGCUUACCUUUGUGCCCUUGGCUCGGGAAACUCCACAUACAGUAAUUUCUCCGCUCUUCUCAACUUUAAAUUUCUUCAUCUAUUAUUAGGGUUUAGAUUUGGUAGGUGCUUCUGCAAUAAGUAUCCUAGCAGUUAUGCUGGAACUGUUCACGCUUUCUGUGUUCGACAUUUCCGUGCUUUUGGUUCUGCUUGUAAUAUUUAUGGACUCUCUGAAAAAGGAAACUGAUUUGUUAAGUUUGCAGAGUGGAAAACGUCUAUUGUUUAGUCCUUUAGUUAUUGAAGCAUGCAAGGCGUUCUAAAUUAAAAUUUAGAAGUGGAAAGUUCAGGGUUUUGAUUUAGAUAUAAACUCCAUGUUGAAUCAUGUGGAAGACAGCCAAGAGAACGCAGAGUGCCACAGUACCGAGACAUCCAAGAGAACACACAGUGCCAGAACACAUAUACAGGUAUUUGUUCAGCCUAUACGACAGGCAAGAUACCCCAUAGUGACAGGUAUUCUAUUCAUUCUUUACUUUUUAUUUGUAAACAUGAAUUUCAGUCGGCACACCUUUCUUUUUUCUAAGCCCUCAUUAAAACCAAAAUCUACAGAAACAGCCCCAAUUUCAUUGCAUGCGGUCAACAAAAUUGAAGCAAAUGAUCCAAAGUUUUGUUGCGAACUUUUUUAAAUAAUGAGGCAUAUUAGCAUCAACGAAAUUAGAACAUUCAGAUAUAAGCUUCCGAGGAAUCACAAAAUUGUCGAUUUGGUACAGCGUGAGAUUGCGAUGGAUUCUCUGCUUAAUAGUCAUAGCAACUUCAAACAUAUAUAUGUAGAUUACACAAAAAUUAAAGGAACAUCAAAUGGGUUAAAAAGGAAUUUAUAAAAUGAGUUUUCUAGGAAACCCUUAACAUGCAAUACCUAACCGAUGUGGCAGACAAAAAACAAAUUAUCAGUAGAAAUAGAAAAAAAUGUAGAGAUCAAUAUCAGGCAAAAUGGAUUCUGAAACACUUUCAUCGUAAUAUGACAGACCACAACCGAAAUGGAGCAAGAUAUGAAACGAACCUAGGCAAUUAUCUAUGCAAAUGUCAAAAUAGCAAUGCUCUGUUAAAUUUUUCACGAGGUCGGGUAUCUGACAGGAACAAUUUUUUCGUAACUAAUUAAGCCUGUGCAAAUAUUUAUAAAUAAAAUUAUUGUAAAUAUACAAUUCAUAAAUCAACAGGAGAUGCCACCUGAAUCCAGAAAUGCAUCUUGGAGCAGGGGAAACAAGACAAAUAACUCAUCUAUUUCUGAGGUAAAUAUAAAAAUGUACAACUGUAGUCUUCCUAUUUCAUCUUGUAUCCUCCUACAAGAGAUCUAAGAAACCAUUGUUUAACAUGUCACAUUUCCAGAUUCCCUACAAAUGGUAUCCCGUCUGGUAUCAUUCUCGAUGAACAGACAUAUCAAAAAAGUCUCUUUUAACAAUGAGAGGAUUAUGGGGUACAUCAGCUUCCAAUCUCAACAUAUGCCGAUCUUGUCUCCUGCUUUGUCUCGAUUUGGCAUCCGGAUGAGAAGACACCAACUCCAACAGAAAACCCUCUCCAUUUCCUUUCGAUCAAACACCCAAAAAUCAACAUUGCCAUUCAAUUAGUUUUUUAAGUAUUUGAUUCCUUAAAAAUAAAUAAAAAGAAUUGCAAUUACAUAAUUUUGAAGUAAAAUAUAUUCAAUGAAACCACCAAACAAUCUCGAGUGAGCAGAGCUCAAAAAUUUGAUAGAGCAGAAGUUGAUUCACGGGAAUCGAUAGACAUAUCACCCUGUUUCUUUUGUUAUGUGAUGGGACCCGUCAAAACGUCACAGAGGAGCAAAGAAAAAAAACUUUAUCAUAGUGCAAAGAAAAAAACCUUUAUCAUAGUUUCAGGCAAUAUUUGCACAAGAAAUAGGCCUUAAAUCCUUUGCUGUGCCUGAGCAAAAUAGAGACAAUAAUUACAAUCAUUCCAUCCGCAGUGAGCAAAAUCGAACUCAACAGACUGGCUGAAGAAAAAUGUAAGUUACAGUGAUAAAAUCUUCCAAACAGUGCUAAUCAGACCGUAAUUCAAGAAUGCAGCAAUAAGAUGAAUAAAAUAGCGGAAAAAUUUAGAAAUAUCUUACCGUGCAAAAGUCUGGUAGUCGGGGAAGACUAGAAAAGUUUCUGUAUCAAAAACAAAAUGUGGGUGCUUUUUGCCCUAGAAAUUGAGCUUGUGUUUUGAGUACAUCAUUUUCCCAUUAUAUGUAUAUUUUAUGACCUGUUGUGUAUGAUGUUACAUUUUCAAGCAAUUAAUUACAAGUGGAUUCAAGAAAAUUCUAGAAUGACAUUAUUUAGGAUUCAAUGUAGAGAGUUCAAUACUAGAAUAUCAACUUCACUGUUUCGGAUGUGGGGGGCCAAGACAAGGUAUCUUCUGUACUUGUUUAUAUGCUGCAAUGUCUUAUUGCAUCGAUGUGCAAUUGUUGGAUGUACUCGUCCAUUUAGGUUUUGUCCAAAAAAAUUAAUUGAGUACUUGAUAUGGUCAUUUGUUCAUUCUAACAGACAAAAAAAUUCAAACCUUUUUGGAAGAGCUGUAUUUUAUUCAAAGACCCAUUUUUGCCAUUGAAUUUCAUUUUACAGCUUUAUAAUUUUAUCUCUUUGCACAUUUCUUUUGUGUUCUAUUGCAACCAUAUCAUCAUCUUUCCUGCUUGAAAAUAACAACUAUUUUCUACUAUCAUAAGCACUUCAGAAUUUACUCUCACUUCUCCAACCUAAAAAUCAACUAUAAAUAGCUGGGCCAGAAUGCUCACCUUGAUCGUUUCUUCAUGGUUUUUGACAUGGGCAUAUGAACCGAUGAACCGAAAUACAAAGCAUCAUUUUUGCUUCUACUAAUACAAGCUCUUCCCUGUUGUUCAGCAGCCCAAGAAAGGCUGGACUCUGUUGAAUUCCUACUACUUCUACGGCUGUUGUAAGAGUUGUUUAAUCUAGCACGUCUGUGGCCACUGAACAUGGUUGCUUAUGUGUACAGUAUGUAUGAUAUUCCACUGAACAUGGUUGCCGAUGUUUACGGUAUGUAUAAUUUCACUUCAUAUAUAUACUCCAUCCAAGUUUCAGCUUUCAGAAGGUUAAAAAUGUUAUUUGCAUUAGAAAGCAAAUGGGGUUUUGGGAUAUUCUUAAGAGUGGAGAAUGAUGGUUUGAACUUUGAACCAUUAAUAGUUUGAUCGAUGUGCCUCUCUUCUGAUAUGGUUCCGCUGCUCCACCUCUCUCUUUACAUGGUUUCGUUGCCCCACCUAUCUCUUUACAUCGUUCUAUUGUUCCCCGUCUCUUUAUUUAUACAAUAAACAAUGGCUUCAUUUACACGUGUAGUGGACUAUUGUCUGAAAAGCGAACCCUUCUUUUUUUCAAGCUUCAUAUCCUUAUUGGCUUCAACAUGCGGCAUAUUUUGUAAUAUUUGAUAUAAUUCAGUGGGUAGUAAGGUCUCACAGGUUGGAAACUGAUUAAAAUAUAUUAAGAGGCGGUUGCUGAUCGUAUUUGGUAGAUUUCCAAAUGUUAUUUUUCUUUUUUAAAUUGUUUUUAAAUAUUGCGUUGCUCUCAUUCAUUUAUUAGUCUACCCUGCAUUGGAACUGCAAGUGACUAUGUUAUAAUUGUGUUCAUGGAAAGGGUAGGCCAUGAGCAAGGAGCUUCCCUCGACACAGCAAAAGAUUGAUUCUCUUUACUAGAUGAACCGUAUUUGAUAAAAUCCCUGCAAUAUUCUCCAUUAAUCACUCCAUUAAUUAGCUUUUAUGAUGACUUAUUACUACCCCCAAUUGCAGACAUCAUAUAGCAGUAGUAUGCAAAAUGUGUAAGAAGGCAAAAGGCAUGCCAACUGUUUGGCAGAACGUCUCAAAGAAAUAUGGUUUCGUGGAAUGCCAUGAUUGCAGGAUGUGCACAAAACGGGUCUUUUGGAAAGGCUUUAGAAGCCUUCAAUGAAAUGCAAUUGGCGUGUGUAGACACAAAUUCCACAACGUUUGCUACCGUCCUCACUGCCUCUGCAAAAUAGGAGCUUUCAAAUAGGGUACAGACAUCCAUAGAAGCAUAAAAGACUUUUGUAAGAUGUUAUAGUUUAACUGCCUUGAUAGACAUGCAUACAAAAUGUAUAAGGAUAGACGAGGCAUGUGAACUGUUUGACAGAAUGCCUCACAGAAAUGCGGUCUCAUGGAAUGCGAAUGGUAUAAUCAUAACACUAGUACUCAUAAUAGUUAUAACUUAGGGAUGCAUAUACAAGAUAAAUGUACUACUGAUUUAAUCUAGAUUGCAAUUUUCAAUAAAUUGAGAUGAUAAACUAAUUAAAAAAUGACUUGACCUUCUAAUUUAUAUAAUUAAAAUUUCAUGGUUA